rnacentral:rRNA from 2 species
CUGGUGUCAGCCGCCGCGGUAAUACCAGCACCCCGAGUUGUCGGGACGAUUAUUGGGCCUAAAGCAUCCGUAGCCGGUUCUAUAAGUCCUCCGUUAAAUCCAACUGCUCAACAGAUGGGCUGCGGGGGAUACUACAGAGCUAGGAGGCGGGAGAGGCAAACGGUACUCAGUGGGUAGGGGUAAAAUCCAUUGAUCUACUGAAGACCACCAGUGGCGAAGGCGGUUUGCCAGAACGCGCUCGACGGUGAGGGAUGAAAGCUGGGGGAGCAAACCGGAUUAGAUACCCGGGUAGUCCCAGCUGUAAACGAUGCAGACUCGGUGAUGGGUUGGCUUCGCGCCAACCCAGUGCCGCAGGGAAGCCGUUAAGUCUGCCGCCUGGGGAGUACGGUCGCAAGACUGGAACUUAAAGGAAUUGGCGGGGGAGCACCACAAGGGGUGAAGCCUGCGGUUCAAUUGGAGUCAACGCCGGGAAUCUUACCGGGGGCGACAGCAGAGUGAAAGUCAAGCUGAAGACUUUACCAGACAAGCU